GUUAGGAUGGCUGAAAUUUUAAGCAGUAAGUUGUAACCUUACUUAUGAAUAUAUAAUUCUUCUAUCA
rnacentral:tRNA from 1 species